AGAGUUUGAUCAUGGCUCAGGACGAACGCUGGCGGCGCGCCUAACACAUGCAAGUCGAGGGAGAACCACUCUUCGGAGUGGGGAGACCGGCGAACGGGUGAGUAACACGUGAGGAAUCUGCCCUGUAGACCGGAAUAACCACGGGAAACUGUGGCUAAUGCCGGAUAUUCUCGCCGCUCCGCAUGGAGCAACGAGGAAAUGGUCAGCCGCUACAGGAUGACCUCGCGGCCUAUCAGCUUGUUGGUGGGGUAACGGCCCACCAAGGCAACGACGGGUAGCUGGCGUGAGAGCGCGAACAGCCACACUGGGACUGAGACACGGCCCAGACUCCUACGGGAGGCAGCAGUGGGGAAUCUUGCUCAAUGGGCGAAAGCCUGAAGCAGCGACGCCGCGUGCGGGAAGAAGGCCUUCGGGUUGUAAACCGCUUUCAGGGGGGAAGAAGCGAAAGUGACGGUACCCCCAGAAGAAGGACCGGCCAACUACGUGCCAGCAGCCGCGGUAAUACGUAGGGUCCAAGCGUUGUCCGGAAUUAUUGGGCGUAAAGAGCUCGUAGGCGGUCCGUUAAGUCGGAAGUGAAAUCUCAAGGCUCAACCUUGAAAUCGCUCUCGAUACUGGCGGACUUGAGGCAGGUAGGGGAAGGUGGAAUUCCUGGUGUAGCGGUGAAAUGCGCGAUAUCAGGAGGAACACCGGUGGCGAAGGCGGCCUUCUGGGCCUGUUCUGACGCUGAGGAGCGAAAGCGUGGGGAGCAAACAGGAUUAGAUACCCUAGUAGUCC
rnacentral:rRNA from 1 species